rnacentral:rRNA from 1 species
GACGAACGCUGGCGGCGUGCUUAACACAUGCAAGUCGAACGGAAAGGCCCUGCUUUUGUGGGGUGCUCGAGUGGCGAACGGGUGAGUAACACGUGAGUAACCUGCCCUUGACUUUGGGAUAACUUCAGGAAACUGGGGCUCAUACCGGAUAGGAGCUCCUGCUGCAUGGUGGGGGUUGGAAAGUUUCGGCGGUUGGGGAUGGACUCGCGGCUUAUCAGCUUGUUGGUGGGGUAGUGGCUUACCAAGGCUUUGACGGGUAGCCGGCCUGAGAGGGUGACCGGCCACAAUGGGACUGAGAUACGGCCCAGACUCCUACGGGAGGCAGCAGUGGGGAAUAUUGCACAAUGGGCGGAAGCCUGAUGCAGCAACGCCGCGUGCGGGAUGACGGCCUUCGGGUUGUAAACCGCUUUCGCCUGUGACGAAGCGGGAGUGACGGUAAUGGGUAAAGAAGCACCGGCUAACUACGUG